rnacentral:rRNA from 1 species
AUUGAACGCUAGCGGGAUGCUUUACACAUGCAAGUCGAACGAGUGGCGGACGGGUGAGUAAUAUAUCGGAACCUGCCCGGUAGCGGGGGAUAACUACUGGAAACAGUGGCUAAUACCGCAUACUAUCGGAGCGGCCCAUAUCGGAUUAGCUAGUUGGUGGGGUAAAGGCUCACCAAGGCAACGAUCCGUAGCUGGUCUGAGAGGACGACCAGCCACACUGGGACUGAGACACGGCCCAGACUCCUACGGGAGGCAGCAGUGGGGAAUAUUGCACAAUGGGCGCAAGCCUGAUGCAGCCAUCCCGCGUGUAUGAGAAGGCCUUCGGGUUGUAAAGUACUUUUGGCAGGGAAGCGGUAUCUGCAGAAUAAGCACCGGCUAACUACGUGCCAGCAGCCGCGGUAAUUC